GACUCUCGGCAACGGAUAUCUCGGCUCUCGCAUCAAUGAAGAACAUAGCGAAAUGCGAUACCUGGUGUGAAUUGCAGAAUCCCACGAACAAUCGAGUCUUUGAACGCAAGUUGCGCCCGAGGCCACUCGGCCGAGGGCACGCCUGCCUGGGCGUCA
rnacentral:rRNA from 1 species